rnacentral:tRNA from 1 species
GCUCCCGUAGCUCAGCUGGAUAGAGCAAUCGCCUCCUAAGCGAUAGGCCAGUGGUUCGAAUCCACUCGGGAGCGCCA